GAUGAACGCUGGCGGCGUGCCUAAUACAUGCAAGUCGAGCGAACAGACGAGGAGCUUGCUCCUCUGACGUUAGCGGCGGACGGGUGAGUAACACGUGGAUAACCUACCUAUAAGACUGGGAUAACUUCGGGAAACCGGAGCUAAUACCGGAUAAUAUAUUGAACCGCAUGGUUCAAUAGUGAAAGACGGUUUUGCUGUCACUUAUAGAUGGAUCCGCGCCGCAUUAGCUAGUUGGUAAGGUAACGGCUUACCAAGGCAACGAUGCGUAGCCGACCUGAGAGGGUGAUCGGCCACACUGGAACUGAGACACAGUCCAGACUCCUACGGGGGGCAGCAGUAGGGACUCUUCCGCAAUGGGCGAAAGCCUGACGGAGCAACGCCGCGUGAGUGAUGAAGGUCUUCGGAUCGUAAAACUCUGUUAUUAGGGAAGAACAAAUGUGUAAGUAACUAUGCACGUCUUGACGGUACCUAAUCAGAAAGCCACGGCUAGCUACGUG
rnacentral:rRNA from 1 species